CAGCCGCCGCGGGAAUACGUAGGUGGCAAGCGUUGUCCGGAAUUAUUGGGCGUAAAGGGCACGCAGGCGGUUUCUUAAGUCUGAUGUGAAAGCCCCCGGCUCAACCGGGGAGGGUCAUUGGAAACUGGGAAACUUGAGUGCAGAAGAGGAGAGUGGAAUUCCACGUGUAGCGGUGAAAUGCGUAGAGAUGUGGAGGAACACCAGCGGCGAAGGCGACUCUCUGGUCUGUAACUGACGCUGAGGAGCGAAAGCGUGGGGAGCGAACAGGAUUAGAUACCCCGGUAGUCCCUGUCUCUUAUAC
rnacentral:rRNA from 1 species